CCGCUCCCACAGCAUAUGGAGGUUCCCAGGCUAGGGGUUGAAUUGGAGCUGCAGCUAUCGGCCUACGCCAGAGCCACAGCAACGCGGGAUCCGAGCCGCGUCUGCAACCUACACCACAGCUCACGGCAACACCGGAUCCUUAACCCACUGAGCAAGGGCAGGGACCGAACCCGCAACCUCAUGGUUCCUAGUCGGAUUCGUUAACCACUGCGCCACGACGGGAACUCCUGGAUUCGUUCCAAGUGGCAUGCAAGUGCUAAUCUUCAUAACCAUGAGGAAACUGAGAUUCAUGUGUCACUUUAAUAGUGUUUUAGUUGAUACCCUGAGGUUUUCUCUGUAUGCAAAUUAGUCAUCAGCGCAAAAUGAUAACCCUGUCUCUAUCUUGUCAACAAUCACACCUUUUAUUUCUUUCCUUUGCCUUCUUUCAGGGCAAAUUGAACAUCAUUUAAACCUCUUUUAAUGACUCAGGCACAUCAUUAUGGAGACGAGCAAUGUUGAUGAAUUAGGUUGGGCUGUUUUAUUCCUACUUGAAAUUGCUGCCGCUGCUGUUAUUUUCCCAGGUAUCGCAUCUGUUUAUGAUCCCCCAGCUACUCUACCCACCUUAUUCGGUAGUUUCUAAUCUGAUAAAUAACAAACUGUUCAAUCCAUAGGCUUAAUUUUAGAUGCAUCUGUGUGGUUGGAGGGUUCUACUGGAAAGUGGUGUCCCAGGCAGCUGUCUUAUGCUCAGAGAUACUUUCCUGCUUACUCUAAAUAGUUGAAGUUAUCAAAAGCGUGCCCUCAAGACAAAGGUAUGCUCUUGUAGGACCAUGUUUUAUUAAAAAAAUCACCAGCAUUCGAGUUGGGAGACAUGGUAUUCCCAGUUCUAUUAACUCGCAUUAUCUGUCACUUUUUUUUUUUUUUUUUUUUUUUUUAGGGUUGCCCCUGUGGCAUGUGGAGGUUCCCAGGCUAGGGGCUGAAUUGGAGCUGCAGCUGCUGGCCUAUGCCACAGCAAUGCCAGAUCCACGCUGCAUCUGUGACCUAUACCAAAGCUCAGGGUAACACUGGAUCCUUAACCCACUAGGCAAAGCCAGAGAUGGAACCCACAUCCUCAGGCAUACUAGUCGAGGUUUGUUACCAACUGAGUCACAACGGGAACUCCUAUCUGUCACUUCUGCCUUCCGGGUCUCUCAUCUAUAAAAGGGCUCAGAGUGGGACAACAAUAUGGAUAUUUUCCGUUUCUAUAAAUAUUAUGCCACAGGUUUCUAAACUUUUUCACACGCUUUAGUUCAUGUGUUCCUUCUCAUAACCUUUUGAAGUGAUCAGGCCAGGGACUCUCAUUCCCAUUUCACAGAUGGGAGAACUGAAGCACAGGAGAUUGGGUUGUUCAGACUCAGAGAAUUUUCUGGAGGUUGAGCCUGCGCUAGAAACUAGUAUGGUGUUUUCCACUUCACGGUGUUCUCUUUGUGAUCAGGUGCUUUCACAUCCAUCGGGGCCUUUCUUAGAAACCCAUCAGCAUUUCAGUUAGCUGGUAAACCUACCAUGGAUAGAUUUUUGUCAGGCUCGGAGGCGGGUAUGAAGAACACAGUUCCCCUGGCCCCCAGCACCCUAGACUGGGUCCUCCCAAUCGCAGCAUAGAUCCGUUUCUAAGUACAAACAACGUCCUUAUUCCCAGAGCUUGGGGUUGGUUUUACCAGGAGAGCACACGUGAGGGGUUAGGGCUAAUUGCAGAGUUAGAGGGCGCCAACCCAAGACUGUCUUCACGUCUGUUGCCAACUGCAAAGCUCAAGUGGUUACCCAAACCCUGGUUUGGAAUUCUCUAGAAAGACUCACAGAACUCACUGUACACAGGUAUACGCGUAGUUACAGUAACUGGGAAAGGAUCCAGGUUAAGAUCAGCCAAAGAAAGAGACACAAAGUCCAGGAGUGUUUCGGAUGCGGGGCUUGCGGGGUCUUCUUUUCUCCCAGAGGAGUCAGACUCCUGUGACCUCAAUAUGUGACACCAACACAUGACCCUAUGCACAGAGCAUGGCCAACCAGGGAAGCUCAUCCCAGCCUCAGGGUUCAGGUUUUUGUUGUUGUUGUUGCUCUUUAUGGUCGCAUUGGCAGCAUAUGGAGGUUCCUAGGCAGGGGUCAAAUCGGAGUGACAGCUGCCAGCCUAUAUCACAGCUACAGCAACGCCAGAUCUGAGCCACAUCUGCGACCUACACCACAGCUCUCGGCAAUGCCAGAUCCUUAACCCACUGAGUGAGGCCAGGGAUCAAACCCGAGUCCUCAUGGAGGCUAGUUGGGUUUUUUACUGCUAAGCCACUACGGGGACUCCCUCAGUGUCCCAUUUUUCACGUCCAUUACGUGGAUGUGAUCCGAUGGUCAUGCGUGUGACUAAUCUCAGUGUUCAGGCCCCAAGAGAGACCCAAAGCCCAUCCUUCCGCCUUGAAUAAGCACCAUGUUCAGGCUCCGAGUCCUGUGGGGGGGUCUCUCUGGUGUGCCCGCCUCCCACCCUAAAUCACCUGCUUAGACUACCCACUGCCCCCAGGAGAAGAAAGACCUCAGAAAUUACCUCCCAGAAGCAGAGGACAAAGGUCCAGACCUCUUUUGAUGGAGGUUAAUGCUUCACUACAUGGCCUGGCCGGCUGGCAGCUCUUUACUCCCAGUGUAGUUAAGAAGAGAGCUCAAGGGCUUCUUUGAAGAGAGAGUUGGCCUUGCCUGAAAGGCUCUGCUCUUUAGUUCUCUGAGGGAAAAUGAGCUCACCCCAUCUGGCAAACAGUCCUCAACCAAUCAGUAGCACAGACAGCGUACUCGGGUGGCCUCGCUUCUUUAAUCAGCCACUGAAUCACGCUGAGGAAAUUGCCCUUAAGGUGUCAUCCAAAUUGUAUGGAGACCCAAAUGUUUCAUUUAAAUGUAAAACAAAGAGGGUCUCUUCCAAUCAUGCUGCUCUCUCCUUAGCACUCAAAACUCAAAUCCCACUGAGAAGUUACCCUACAUCAGCUUCCCAGCCAGCAAAACUCCCAUCAGAGAAAGCCAACUAUUGUGAAAUGUUUCUCCAGUGCAUUUCAGACCCCAAGACUAUCAGUUGAUGGCCAAGAAGUUGCUUGGUGACGGGCACUAGAAUAGCAUCAUAGAGAGUAUAGGGGUGAAUCAGCAUCAGCGAGGCAUCCUGCCCUCUGGGAUCUUGAUAGGGAUGGAGCAGGAUCGUUACAUCAGUCGUUGCAGAAGCCCCAGUUGGGGACCACAGGUAGAGAGGGAAAUCUAGGGACCUUUGGGAGACCACUGUAAGUUAAUAAUCCCUCAAGAAAGCCAUCAGAAUGCUGUGGUUCCAUGAAGCAGGCUUGCUUAACUAUAAGACCAUAAAUCAAGGUAUGGUUUAUGCCUCAGGUCAUUAAGUGAAAGAUAAAAUGAGGCCUACAUCCAAGUUCAGUGAGAUAACGAUUCCUCGGACCAAGGAGAGGAACUUAAGGGAAAGAGGCUACUCCCAAGUGCGAGAGCCAUUGUAUGGAAACCUGAGGUGAUUCAACAGAGUUUAGCAUAUGUUACCAUCCUUCUACUGACCUGAAUAAGCACGAGGACAGUCCUAGUUUGACCUCAUCAGGUCAAAUACUCCUUACCCAAUACAAAGGAGGCCCUAGUGACAGAAGGCUGAUGUCUAUUUGAAGAAUGAGACAGAAGGUCAUUCUUUCCCGCACUCCCCACUCUCCUUGGAUUAUAAAAAUGUAGCACAUCUAAUUCUGGGGGCAGAGCCUCCUCACCUGACCCCUUGUAUCCCUCCCAAGCGACCUAUCUUAAUAAAUCUAUUCCUUGCCUAUCACUUUGUCCUUCGCCAGAUUCCUUCUGCUCUGAGACACAAAAAACCUGUGCCUCAGUAAGUCCAAACACCAAGUGAGUGAUUCUAAUAAAACAAAACUGUGGGUUCAAGUCCCAAUCUGGGUUUAGUCUGGGUUCAAGUCAGAGAUUUCAGUCUGACAGUCUAGAAGGGCAGGGAAACAUACAUACAAAUAAUCUGAGGAUGGAGGAUGACAGGCUGGUGCCACACAGACUUAUAGGGAAGGGCAAAGAGGAGUUACCCCUCAGAGCCUGGGACACAGGCCAGGCCUUGUCCUUUACGAGGCAGAGACGCCUUUAUCUGUGACCUGGCCCAGGAACACUGAUUUUCCUUUGAAACAGAAACAGAGCCCAGAACCUUGUAGGGCCCCCCUGGGUACAAAAUCACCUCGGUGCCCUCUGUUUCUUCUUUGUAGAAAAAGACUUAGU
rnacentral:lncRNA from 1 species